GUGUUGCAUGAAAGGAGAGGAGAGAAUGUUAGCACUCCCCUUGACAGGGAUGGAUGAGGCCCCUGAGCCUACCAACACGCACAUGGUUAAGGCAUCAUUUUAUACACUUAACAUAACCUUAUUUUCCU